rnacentral:rRNA from 1 species
UACGGGGGGGGCAAGCGUUGUUCGGAAUUACUGGGCGUAAAGGGCGCGUAGGCGGCCUGCUAAGUUGGAUGUGAAAACUCUGGGCUCAACCCAGAGCCUGCAUUCAAUACUGACGGGCUAGAGUACUGGAGGGGAAAGCGGAAUUCCUGGUGUAGCGGUGAAAUGCGUAGAUAUCAGGAGGAACACCAAUGGCGAAGGCAGAUCUCUGGGCCGUAACUGACGCUGAGGAGCGAAAGCAUGGGGAGCGAACAGG